rnacentral:rRNA from 1 species
AGAACGAACGCUGGCGGCAUGCCUAAUACAUGCAAGUCGAACGAAGGCUUCGGCCUUAGUGGCGCACGGGUGCGUAACGCGUGGGAAUCUGCCCCUUGGUUCGGAAUAACAGUUGGAAACGACUGCUAAUACCGGAUGAUGACGAAAGUCCAAAGAUUUAUCGCCAAGGGAUGAGCCCGCGUAGGAUUAGCUAGUUGGUGAGGUAAAGGCUC